rnacentral:rRNA from 1 species
UACAGAGGUCCCGAGCGUUGUUCGGAUUCAUUGGGCGUAAAGGGUGCGUAGGCGGCGGGGCAAGUCUGAUGUGAAAUCCCGGGGCUCAACCCCGGAACUGCAUUGGAUACUGCCUUGCUUGAGUACUGGAGAGGAGACUGGAAUUUACGGUGUAGCAGUGAAAUGCGUAGAGAUCGUAAGGAAGGCCAGUGGCGAAGGCGAGUCUCUGGACAGUAACUGACGCUGAGGCACGAAGGCCAGGGGAGCAAACGGG